ACGUUUGCUUAUUACAACACAACAAUUUUCGCAACUCCGAAUGUGCGUAGUGUACAACAAGAAGAAGAAGAAGAGGAGGAGCAGUUUGUCUUGCCUUCACUUACUCAGACAGCGAUGGAUUGGAUGCCAUCUCCACGUACUAAGAAACUGGAGUAGUUUGCUGCCUCUGCCUACUUAAAAGAAAAGGAAAAAAAACAAGUCAACUUAACCCAAGCUAUGAUGCACAGAUGCACCCCUAUCUUGUUUCUUGGUGGAGGAGAUGCAUUUGCUGAAGCUUUAGUUGUAGUAUCUCGCGGUUCAAACAGACAUGCAGUUCAGCAAAUAAAACUUGGGAGUACCACCUUUGUGGUAACUGGUAAGAGUCAAACAAACGACUUGCUCUUCAACUAUCGAUCGCCUGCAGGCAAGCAGGCCUCACGGACACGGAGGCUGCUGCGGAUCAGGGCAAGGAGUGAUACAAGUUGGCAGGUAGACACGCAGAGGACGGACCACCUCUUCUGCUGGGACGUUGUCCAUCCAACUUUAGUAUCACCGAUGCCCAUGACCACUUCGAUUGCGCAAUUCUAGCUAUGGCUCAACAGGAUCAUCGCUUGUUCAAUUAAUGAUGAUCCAUUAUAUAUGUUCAAUCCUGAUGCAUGCAUGUUACAGUCAGGCUGCUCAAGCAGAUUGUUUGUUUGCAGCAGUAUCUAUGCAAUUUGCGUAUUUUAGUGAGUUGAGUAUUGCCUCUUAAGUGGUCUCCUUCUCCUCUUGUAAAGGUGGCUUGAGCUGAGCAACAACAACUCAUCAACAUCAUGAAUGUCUGCUUCAGGGUCCCC